UUACUGAGUUUACGCUCUAUAACCCUUUGUGAACAUACCUAUAACUGUUGCUUCGGCGGGUAGGGUCUCCGCGACCCUCCCGGCCUCCCGCCUCCGGGCGGGUCGGCGCCCGCCGGAGGAUAACCAAACUCUGAUUUAACGACGUUUCUUCUGAGUGGUACAAGCAAAUAAUCAAAACUUUUAACAACGGAUCUCUUGGUUCUGGCAUCGAUGAAGAACGCAGCGAAAUGCGAUAAGUAAUGUGAAUUGCAGAAUUCAGUGAAUCAUCGAAUCUUUGAACGCACAUUGCGCCCGCCAGCAUUCUGGCGGGCAUGCCUGUUCGAGCGUCAUUUCAACCCUCAAGCUCUGCUUGGUGUUGGGGCCCUACAGCUGAUGUAGGCCCUCAAAGGUAGUGGCGGACCCUCCCGGAGCCUCCUUUGCGUAGUAACUUUACGUCUCGCACUGGGAUCCGGAGGGACUCUUGCCGUAAAACCCCCCAAUUUUCCAAAGGUUGACCUCGGAUCAGGUAGGAAUACCCGCUGAACUUAAGCAUAUCAAUAAGCGGAGGAAAAGAAACCAACAGGGAUUGCCUCAGUAACGGCGAGUGAAGCGGCAACAGCUCAAAUUUGAAAUCUGGCCCUAGGCCCGAGUUGUAAUUUGCAGAGGAUG
rnacentral:rRNA from 1 species